GCAGUCGCCGCGGGAAUACGUAGGGUGCAAGCGUUAAUCGGAAUUACUGGGCGUAAAGCGUGCGCAGGCGGUUAUAUAAGACAGAUGUGAAAUCCCCGGGCUCAACCUGGGAACUGCAUUUGUGACUGUAUAGCUAGAGUACGGCAGAGGGGGAUGGAAUUCCGCGUGUAGCAGUGAAAUGCGUAGAUAUGCGGAGGAACACCGAUGGCGAAGGCAAUCCCCUGGGCCUGUACUGACGCUCAUGCACGAAAGCGUGGGGAGCAAACAGGAUUAGAUACCCCAGUAGUCCCUGUCUCUUAUAC
rnacentral:rRNA from 1 species